rnacentral:rRNA from 1 species
GACGAACGCUGGCGGCGUGCCUAAUACAUGCAAGUAGAACGCACAGUUUAUACCGUAGCUUGCUACACCAUAGACUGUGAGUUGCGAAUGGGUGAGUAACGCGUAGGUAACCUGCCUGGUAGCGGGGGGUAACUAUUGGAAACGAUAGCUAAUACCGCAUAAUAUUGAUUAUUGCAUGAUAAUUGAUUGAAAGAUGCUAUUGUAUCACUACAAGAUGGACCUGCGUUGUAUUAGCUAGUAGGUGAGGUAACGGGUCACCUAGGCGACGAUACAUAGCCGAACUGGGAGGGUGAUCGGCCACAAUGGGACCGGGACCCGGCCCAGGCUCCUACGGGAGGCAGCCGUAGGGAAACUUCGGGAAUGGACGGAAGUCUUACCGGGCAACGCCGCGGUAGUGAAGAAGGGUUUCGGAUCGGAAAGAUCUGUUGUUAGGGAAGAACGGGUGGGAGAAGGGAAAGUUCACACUGUGACGGUAUCUUACCAGAAAGGGACGGCUAACUACGUG